UCCGGGGUGGUGUAGUGGCAGCACGUCAGGUUUUGGUCCUGAAGGCGAUUGGGUUCGAUUCCCUCCCCCGGAG
rnacentral:tRNA from 1 species